rnacentral:rRNA from 1 species
GGCCAGACUCCUACGGGAGGCAGCAGUGGGGAAUAUUGCACAAUGGGGGGAACCCUGAUGCAGCGACGCCGCGUGGGUGAAGAAGCGCCUCGGCGCGUAAAGCCCUGUCAGCAGGGAAGAAAAUGACGGUACCUGAAGAAGAAGCCCCGGCUAACUACGUGCCAGCAGCCGCGGUAAUACGUAGGGGGCAAGCGUUAUCCGGAUUUACUGGGUGUAAAGGGGGCGCAGACGGCGAUGCAAGCCAGGAGUGAAAGCCCGGGGCCCAACCCCGGGACUGCUCUUGGAACUGCGUGGCUGGAGUGCAGGAGGGGCAGGCGGAAUUCCUGGUGUAGCGGUGAAAUGCGUAGAUAUCAGGGGGAACACCGGUGGCGAAGGCGGCCUGCUGGACUGCAACUGACGUUGAGGCCCGAAAGCGUGGGGAGCAAACAGGAUUAGAUACCCGGGUA